rnacentral:pre_miRNA from 1 species
UUUAAUUUUUAACUCUUCGUCUUAUUCAAAUUAUUUUUGCGAUUUAUAUUUUUAUUUUUAUUAGAUGAUAAAUCAUGAAUAGUAUUUUACGUGUGACUAAUUUUUUUUAAUUUUUUAAAAAUUUUUCAAGUAAGAUGGAUGAUCAAACGUUGGACACGGAAACCGAAG